GUUUGGCUUGUUGUUAUGAAAAGUGUUUGUUUUGGCGAUUUUGAACGUUUUUGAGCAUGUGUAAUGGCAUGAAUGUGUUGAAUUCGAAAUCCCUUGUGUUAAGCUGUUGUUUUAGUGUUCUUUUGAUGAGUUUGGCUUGUUGUUAUGAACAGUGUUUGUUUUGGCGAGUUUGAACGUUUUUGAGCAUGUGUAGUGGCACGAAUUCGUUAAGCUGUUGUUUUAGUGUUCUUAUGAUGAGUUUAGCUUGUUGUUAUGAACAUUGUUCGUUUUGGCCAGUUUGAAGGUUUUUAGCAUGUGUAAUGGCAUGAAUGCGUUAAGCUGCUGUUUUAGUGUUCUUAUGGUGAGUUUGGCUUGUUGUUAUGAACAUUGUUCGUUUUGGCCAGUUUGAAGGUUUUUGAGCAUAUGUAAUGGCAUGAAUGUGUUGAAUUAGUAAUCCCUUGUGUUAAGCUGUUGUUUUUAGUGUUCUUUUGAUGAGUUUGGCUUGUUGUUAUGAAAAGUGUUUGUUUUUGCGAGUUUGAACGUUUUUGAGCAUGUGUAAUGGCAUGAAUUCGUUAAUCUGUUGUUCUAGUGUUCUUAUGAUGAGUUUGGCUUGUUGUUAUGAACAUUGUU